AGAGUUUGAUCCUGGCUCAGAUUGAACGCUGGCGGCAUGCCUUACACAUGCAAGUCGAACGGCAGCACGGGAGUAAUCCUGGUGGCGAGUGGCGAACGGGUGAGUAAUAUAUCGGAACGUGCCCAGUCGUGGGGGAUAACGCAGCGAAAGCUGUGCUAAUACCGCAUACGAUCUCUGGAUGAAAGCGGGGGACUCGCAAGAGCCUCGCGCGAUUGGAGCGGCCGAUAUCAGAUUAGCUAGUUGGUGGGGUAAAAGCUCACCAAGGCGACGAUCUGUAGCCGGCCUGAGAGGGUGAUCGGCCACACUGGAACUGAGACACGGUCCAGACUCCUACGGGAGGCAGCAGUGGGGAAUUUUGCGCAAUGGACGAAAGUCUGACGCAGCAACGCCGCGUGGGUGAUGAAGGUCUUCGGAUUGUAAAACCCUGUCGUCAGGGACGAAGGUUGGGAUCCUAAUACGAUUUCAGCUUGACGGUACCUGGAGAGGAAGCCCCGGCUAACUCUGUGCCAGCAGCCGCGGUAAUACGGGGGGGGCAAGCGUUAUUCGGAAUUAUUGGGCGUAAAGGGCGCGUAGGCGGUUUUGUAAGUAGGAUGUGUAAUCCCCGAGCUCAACUUGGGAACUGCAUCCUAGACUGCAAGGCUAGAGUACUGGAGAGGGUGGUAGAAUUCCACGUGUAGCGGUGAAAUGCGUAGAGAUGUGGAGGAAUACCAGUGGCGAAGGCGGCCACCUGGACAGUAACUGACGCUGAGGCGCGAAAGCUAGGGGAGCGAACAGGAUUAGAUACCCUGGUAGUCC
rnacentral:rRNA from 1 species